rnacentral:rRNA from 1 species
CCUACGGGGGGCAGCAGUGAGGAAUAUUGGUCAAUGGGCGCGAGCCUGAACCAGCCAAGUAGCGUGAAGGAUGACUGCCCUACGGGUUGUAAACUUCUUUUAUAAAGGAAUAAAGUGAGGCACGUGUGCCUUUUUGUAUGUACUUUAUGAUUCAGGAUCGGCUAACUCCGUGCCAGCAGCCGAGGGAAUACGGAGGAUCCGAGCGUUAUCCGGAUUUAUUGGGUUUAAAGGGAGCGUAGAUGGGUUGUUAAGUCAGUUGUGAAAGUUUGCGGCCCAACCGUAAAACUGCAAUUGAUACUGGCAGCCUUGAGUACAGUUGAGGUAGGCGGAAUUCGUGGUGUAGCGGUGAAAUGCUUAGAUAUCACGAAGAACUCCGAUUGCGAAGGCAGCUUACUAAACUGCCACUGACAUUGAUGCUCGAAAGUGUGGGUAUCAAACAGGAUUAGAUACCCGUGUAGUC